rnacentral:rRNA from 1 species
CCUACGGGGGGCUGCAGUAGGGAAUAUUGGUAAUCUGGGAAACCGGGAACCAGCAACGCCGCGUGCGCGAUGAAGGCCUUCGGGUUGUAAAGCGCUUUUUAAAGGGAUGAGGAAGGACAGUACCUUUAGAAUAAGCCUCGGCUAACUACGUGCCAGCAGCCGCGGUAAAACGUAGGAGGCGAGCGUUAUCCGGAUUUACUGGGCGUAAAGCGUGUGCAGGCGGUUUGAUAAGUUGGAUGUGAAAGCUCCUGGCUUAACUGGGAGAGGUCGUUCAAAACUAUCAGACUAGAGAGUGGUAGAGGGAGAUGGAAUUCCGCGUGUAGUGGUGAAAUGCGUAGAUAUGCGGAGGAACACCAGUGGCGAAAGCGGUCUCCUGGCCCAUUUCUGACGCUCAGACACGAAAGCUAAGGUAGCAAACGGGAUUAGAUACCCUUGUAGUCACG